GAUCCUGGCUCAGGAUGAACGCUGGCGGCGUGCUUAACACAUGCAAGUCGAACGAGCCUUGUCGGACGGAUCCCUCGGGGUGAAGACCGGCGCUGGCGAGUGGCGGACGGGUGAGUAACGCGUGGGGAACCUGCCUCAUUCCGGGGGAUACCAGUCGGAAACGGCUGUUAAUACCGCUUAAGCGCACGGUGUGGCAUCACACAGUGUGAAAAACUCCGGUGGAAUGAGAUGGCCCCCGCGUCUGAUUAGGCAGUUGGCGGGGUAACGGCCCACCAAACCGACGAUCAGUAGCCGACCUGAGAGGGUGACCGGCCACAUUGGGACUGAGACACGGCCCAGACUCCUACGGGAGGCAGCAGUAGGGAAUAUUGCACAAUGGGGGAAACCCUGAUGCAGCAACGCCACGUUGUGGGAAGAAGCAUUUCGGUGUGUAAACCACUGUCAUGAGGGAAUAAGGCCCGCCUUCGGGCGGGAUUGAAUGUACCUUGAGAGGAAGCACCGGCAAACUUCGUGCCAGCCGCCGC
rnacentral:rRNA from 1 species